AAUCUUCCGCAAUGGACGAAAGUCUGACGGAGCGAUGCCGCGUGAGUGAUGAAGGUCUUCGGAUCGUAAAACUCUGUUGUUAGGGAAGAACAAGGAGCGGGGUAAUAUGCCGGUACCUUGACGGUAACUAACAAGAAAGCCCCGGUUAACUACGUGCCAGCAGCUGCGGGAAAACGUAGGGGGAAAGCGUUGUCCGGAAUUAUUGGGCGUAAAGGGCACGCAGGCGGUUAUUUAAGUCUAAUGUGAAAUCUUGUGGCUUAACCACAAGCGGUCAUUGGAAACUGGAUAACUUGAGUACAGAAGAGGAGAGUGGAAUUCCACGUGUAGCGGUGAAAUGCGUAGAGAUGUGGAGGAACACCAGUGGCGAAGGCGGCUCUCUGGUCUGUAACUGACGCUGAGGUGCGAAAGCGUGGGUAGCGAACA
rnacentral:rRNA from 1 species